GGGUAUUUAGUAUAAAUUAUUAUGUUCGAUUGCAGAUCGUUAGAUUGUUAUACUCU
rnacentral:tRNA from 1 species